GUCAGCACCCAUGGAGGGAGCAUUUAGAUCAGCCCUAGCCAGGGAAGAAUUCUCCAUCCCAGCGGUCAGAACCUGAAUUCUGGCUAGCCCCACCACCAUGGGCUAAAGAAGCUCUGGGGUUCUAAAUAAACUUGAAAGGUAGUCUAGGCUACAAGGACCUCAAUUAUUGGGUAGUACAGCUCACAGCUCUGGGAGAGACUCCUUCCUUCUGCUUCAGAAAGGGAGAGGGACAUUGAUAAACAUCUACAAACAUCGAGAACAUCCAGGGAAACAUGACCUCACCAAACAAUCUACAUAAGGCACCAGGGAACCCACCUUGGAUUUCCUUU
rnacentral:lncRNA from 1 species